AGUCACACAGGUGCCUGAUACGUGACUGGAGGUGUUCGCUGAUGUGGCCCCAACCCUGCCUUCCUCCCCACCCCACGAUGUUAGAAGAAACUCAACAGAGUAAAUUGGCAGCAGCCAAGAAAAAGCUAAAAGAAUAUCAGCAGAGGAACAGCCCUGGUGUUCCAGCAGGAGUGAAGAUGAAAAAGAAAAACACUGGCAGUAGCCCUGAGACAGCCACUUUUGGUGGUUGCCACUCACCUGGGGCUAGUCGGUACCAAGAACUGGAAUUAGCCCUGGACUCAAGCUCCGCAAUAAUCAAUCAACUCAAUGAAAACAUAGAAUCAUUGAAACAACAGAAGAAACAAGUGGAACAUCAGCUGGAAGAAGAAAAGAAAACCAACAGUGAAAUACACAAAGCACAGAUGGAGCAGUUAGAGGCAAUCGACAUCCUCACAUUGGAAAAGGCAGACUUGAAGACCACCCUUUACCAUACUAAACGUGCUGCCCGACACUUCGAAGAAGAGUCCAAGGAUCUGGCUGGCCGCCUGCAAUACUCCUUACAGCGUAUUCAAGAAUUGGAGCGGGCUCUCUCUGCUGUGUCUACACAGCAGCAGGAAGAGGACAGGUCCUCGAGCUGCAGAGAAGCGGUCCUCCAGUGGCGGUUACAGCAGACCAUAAAGGAGCAGGCACUGCUGAACGCACACGUGACACAGGUGACAGAGUCACUUAAACAAGUCCAGCUAGAGAGAGAUGAAUAUGCUCAACAUAUAAAAGAAGAGAGGGCCCGGUGGCAGGAGAGGAUGUGGAAAAUGUCGGUGGGGCUGAGCCCCCAUCCCCGGCACCCCCAGCAGUGACCUCUGUGGUGGAGCAGCUACAAGAUGAGGCCAAACACCUGAGGAAGGAGGUGGAGAGUUUGGAGGGAAAGCUCCAAUCCAAGGUGGAAAACAACCAGGCCUUGAGUCUCCUGAGCAAGGAACAAAAGUAGAGGCUCCAGGAGCAGGACGAGAGGCUCCGAGAGCAGGAGGAGUGGAGGGUGCGGGAGCAGGAGAGACUGUGUGAGCAAAAUGAGAGGCUUCGGGAGCAGCAGAAGACGCUACGGGAGCAGGGUGAGAGGCUGCGAAAGCAGGAGCAGAGGCUAUGCAAGCAGGAGGAGAGGCUGCGAAAGGAGGAGGAGAGGCUGCGAAAGCAGGAAAAGAGGCUGUGGG
rnacentral:lncRNA from 1 species